GGCCCCGUAGAUUAGAAGUUAGAUCGCCGGGCUUUCAACCCGGAGAACCCGGAGCAUUACCGGGCGGGGCCA
rnacentral:tRNA from 1 species